UAUUUUAAUUAAGAUAGUACUAAAUUCAUGUUAUAUAAGAUUUAACGUUCUUUUGAUGGCAGGACACAGCACUUGGAUAGAUUUGGAAGGCAGAAUUCUUCAUUACAACUCCAAAUGAGAGGAGGCUGCCAGGCGGGGCCCCUCAGGGAAUUAUACACAGAGGUAUAAUCUUUAUGAACGUGUAUGUCUCCCUCUGCCCAUCCACCUUUUCUUCAUCGCUGUGUCUAUCAGACAGCAUUUCUACUCCAUGUAGAUAGCUGAAUUUGUAAUGAAAGGAGCACUGCACUGGUUAUCAGGAUAGUCUACAUUUAAAUCUGGACUUCAUUCUGGUUUUAAAACUAUAUAAAAGUCAUCUGGUCUUCAGAUUUCUCAGUUUCUUAGUAAGGUAAAAAGAUUGUGCUAAUCAUUCUAUUUCUGGAACUAGAACUUCAGCCACACUACUGUAAAAAGUUAAUCUGGUAUAUUUACU
ensembl:lncRNA